AACGAACGCUGGCGGCGCGCCUAAUACAUGCAAGUCGAGCGAGAAGGUGUAGCAAUACACUUGUAAAGCGGCGAACGGGUGAGGAAUGCAUGGGUAACCUACCCUCGAGUGGGGAAUAACUAGCCGAAAGGUUAGCUAAUACCGCAUACGUUUCCGGAACUUCGGUUUCGGAAAGAAAGCAAUACCCGUGGGUAUUGCGCUCCUGGAUGGGCUCAUGUCCUAUCAGCUUGUUGGUGAGGUAACGGCUCACCAAGGCUUCGACGGGUAGCUGGUCUGAGAGGACGAUCAGCCUCACUGGCACUGCGACACGGGCCAGACUCCUACGGAGGCAGCAGUAAGGAAUAUUGCGCAAUGGACGAAAGUCUGACGCAGCGACGCCGCGUGGGGGAUGAAGGUCUUCGGGUUGUAGGAGGCACUUUCACCGGUAGGAAGAUAAUGACGGUAUCCGGAGAA
rnacentral:rRNA from 1 species